CCUACUGGCGGCUGCAGUGGGGAAUAUUGGACAAUGGGCGAAAGCCUGAUCCAGCCAUGCCGCGUGUGUGAAGAAGGCCUUCGGGUUGUAAAGCACUUUCAGUGGGGAAGAAAGCCUUGGGGCUAAUACCCUCGAGGAAGGACAUCACCCACAGAAGAAGCACCGGCUAACUCCGUGCCAGCAGCCGCGGUAAUACGGAGGGUGCGAGCGUUAAUCGGAAUUACUGGGCGUAAAGCGCGCGUAGGCGGUCUGAUAAGCCGGUUGUGAAAGCCCCGGGCUCAACCUGGGAACGGCAUCCGGAACUGUCAGGCUAGAGUGCAGGAGAGGAAGGUAGAAUUCCCGGUGUAGCGGUGAAAUGCGUAGAGAUCGGGAGGAAUACCAGUGGCGAAGGCGGCCUUCUGGACUGACACUGACGCUGAGGUGCGAAAGCGUGGGUAGCAAACAGGAUUAGUACCCUGGUAGUC
rnacentral:rRNA from 1 species